UCCGUGACGGCGUGCCUUUUGCAUAAUGAGCCUACGAGUUACCGUUGCUAGCAAGGUUAAGUACUUAAGGUACGGAUCCGUAGCGAAAGCGAGUCUGAACAGGGCGCUUUAGUUAGUAGUGGUAGACGCGAAACCGUGUGAUCUACCCAUGGGCAGGGUGAAGCUGUGGUAACACACAGUGGAGGCCCGAACCGGUUGACGUUGAAAAGUCUUCGGAUGACCUGUGGGUAGGGGUGAAAGGCCAAUCAAACUCGGAAAUAGCUCGUACUCCCCGAAAUGCAUUUAGGUGCAGCGUCGGUUUAGUUUUAUAGAGGUAGAGCUACUGAUUGGAUGCGGGGGCUUCACCGCCUACCAAUUCCUGACAAACUCCGAAUGCUAUAAAAUGAUGACCGGCAGUGAGGGCAUGGGUGCUAAGGUCCAUGUCCGAGAGGGAAAGAACCCAGACCAUCAGCUAAGGUCCCCAAAUGUAUGUUAAGUUGAAUAAACGAGGUUGAACUGCUUAGACAGCUAGGAUGUUGGCUUGGAAGCAGCCAUUCAUUUAAAGAGUGCGUAACAGCUCACUAGUCGAGCGGUUCGGCAUGGAUAAUAAUCGGGCAUAAACAUACUACCGAAGCUAUGGACUUGUAAAAGUGGUAGGGGAGCAUUGUAGUGUCGUCGAAGGUGAAGCGUGAGCUUUGCUGGAGAAGCUACAAAAGAAAAUGUAGGCAUAAGUAACGAUAAUGCGGGCGAGAAACCCGCACUCCGAAAGACUAAGGUUUCCUCAGCUAUGCUAAUCAGCUGAGGGUUAGUCGGGACCUAACGCGAACCCGAAAGGGGUAGUGGAUGGACAACGGGUUAAUAUUCCCGUACCUGCUCACGCUAAAAGUGACGGAGGCGUAUAUUUGGUGCGAACUGACGGAAUAGUUCGUUGAAGGGAGCGGUAACGCCCCGAUAGUACACUGAGGCUACGGCCAAGGUGAUAAUCCAGAGAAGCGACUUCCAAGAAAAGCAAGUGAAGCAGCCCGUACCGCAAACCGACACAGGUAGUUGGGAUGAGAAUUCUAAGGUGCUCGAGAGAUUCAUGGCUAAGGAACUAGGCAAAAUAGACGCGUAACUUCGGGAGAAGCGUCGCCUGUAGUAAUACAGGCCGCAGUGAAAAGAUCCAAGCGACUGUUUAUCAAAAACACAGGGCUCUGCUAAAUCGAAAGAUGACGUAUAGGGCCUGACACCUGCCCGGUGCUGGAAGGUUAAGUGGAGGGCUUAGAGGUUUACCUCGAAGGUCUGAAAUGAAGCCCCAGUAAACGGCGGCCGUAACAAUAACGGUCCUAAGGUAGCGAAAUUCCUUGUCGGGUAAGUUCCGACCUGCACGAAUGGCGUAACGACUUCCCCGCUGUCUCCAACAUCGACUCAGCGAAAUUGAAUUGCCUGUCAAGAUGCAGGCUUCCCGCGGUUAGACGGAAAGACCCCAUGCACCUUUACUAUAGCUUCGCACUGGCAACAGGUACAGCAUGUGCAGGAUAGGUGGUAGGCUUUGAAGCAGGGACGCCAGUCUCUGUGGAGCCUCCCUUGAGAUACCACCCUUGCUUUGCUUGUUGUCUAACCGCGGUCCGUUAUCCGGAUCCGGGACCCUGCGUGGUGGGUAGUUUGACUGGGGCGGUCGCCUCC
rnacentral:rRNA from 1 species